AAUACUUUCACCGGGACUACCUUGACAAGUUCAUGUGUCCAUGAGAUGAGAAUAGAGGAAAAAAAGUACAGGAACAAGUUCCGGCGAUGAGAAGAAGAAUGACAGAAGCAUUCCAUAAUUUAUCUUAAGGCGGCAAUAAUUUGUGUGUCUGGAGACGCGCUUUGCAGGGAAAAGAAUCAAGACUCGCUGAGGACUGUGGUGGCCCCCUAAACCUGGAAAACUCCUAUUCAUCCUUCAGGACCCAGCCAGUGCCUCCUUCUUACGCAGGCCGCAGAAGAGGAGGUCGCUUCUGUUGCAUUUCCCCAGCCUCCGGUCUGGAAGGAGAAACACAAUUCAGCAAAGUUCCCUUCUCCGGCUCCGGCCCCACCUGUCACUAGGGGAGCCUCAGCCGCCCGACCUUCCACGGCUUCCUUCUGUAGUUUUCCUGAGUGUCUCCAGAAGGUGUCCUCUGUGUGCUCUCCUGUGGGCAGCUGUUUAUCUCCCGCAUGGCAUUUGUCAGCGCCCUUCUCCGCGGAGGGGGAGCAGGCUGCGGGGUACCCCCCCCCCCGGCUGCUGUCCGUGUCCCAGUGGUGUAACUGAGGCCACAGCACAGCGCCGCCUCCCGCUGCUGCGUGCUGAAAGCCGUGCUUGCUUUCCCACAAUCACGUGGUCUGGCUCCCAGAUCCGUGCUACAGAACAACUCCGAAAUGGGGACAAUGAGAGUCUAAGAAUACAGAUGGGCUAUGAAUAGCUCCCGCUCACCACGCCUUUCCUGUGGACGAGGAAGGGCGCUAUAAACCCUUCUGUGGAAUCCACGUUGUAAUCCCCGCGUUGAACCCUGGAUUGUUGCUAGUGAGGACCGCAACCCCCAGAGGCUCAGGGAGAUUCAGUAGCUUGCUUCGGUGUUCACAGCUGGUAACGGGCGGCUAGGAGUUUAAACCCGGGUCAGCUUGGCUCCAGAGUCCAGAACCUUCAUGUCCCUGCCUUGGUAUGCACACCAGCUCCCAUGAGACGGAGCGAUGCCCUCCUCAAUGCUUCCCAGUUCCCUUGGCAGUCCAUCAGCUGGAAGGCUCUAUCUUACCUCACAACAGCGCCUGGCUCUUAGUACAAGUUCAACAACGAUUAAAUGAGUGAAGAAAUAAAUAACUAGAGUCUUAGUCUCA
rnacentral:lncRNA from 1 species